CCAUGUUAGGUACAACAACUACGACCGGGCUGUCAUCAAUACCAUACCUUAUGAUGUCGUCCAUCGUUGGUAUAGAGCACACCGAACUCUAACAGCAGAGUUGAGGAGACCUGAGAAUGAGUUUUGGGUCAAACUAAAGCCUGGCAGGGUCCUAUUUAUAGACAACUGGCGUGUCCUACAUGGCAGGGAGUGCUUCACUGGCUACCGCCAACUCUGUGGCUGCUAUUUAACAAGAGAUGAUGUAUUAAACACGGCUCGUCUCUUGGGGCUUCAGGCUUAAAAUUGACAACAUCAGAAUUAUGAAUACACCUGGCACCUUGGCUACCAGAAUCUCACAUCAGCAGAAUGAUACUGUGUCAAAACCUACUUCAGAUUGUCUCCUUACCCAUCCCACAAAACAGAAGCAGUCCUUUUCUCUAGUGGAGGAAACCUGUUGGAGAAGGGGCCUCUGUCUGAUGUCAGCCAUCUCUAGUAGGGUAGCUCUCUUCCCUCACGUUAUAAUAUGAGCCCGCUUGUUUUUUUAAAAAACCUUUUGCUAUAAUUUUGGUCAAUUUACUUCAGGAAUAUAGUCUCUAGAUUGAUAGGAAA